rnacentral:lncRNA from 12 species
CUGUAGUGAUAUCUCAUUGUGGUUUUAACUUGAAUAUUCCCAAUGGCAAUUGAUAUUGAACACCGGUUUCAUGUUGUCUACUUUGGCAUGUAAUUUUCAAUUUUAAAAAUGUUACCUUCUCCCUCUGUUAACUGGGAUUUUUAAAUAGAUAACUAUGUAUAUGAGUCAAGAUGUAAGGGAAUCUAUAAUCUGUUAUUUGGCAGAUGGCACUCUGAAGUAGAAAAAUAGGUUGCAGUCAAAUGACAUUCAUAGGAACCAGUACCACAUGGUCUUUACUGAUCUUUUGCCAUGUACAAAGCUGUAAUAGACUGAGAGAGUGGACUGGAACCCAUCUGGAAUAAUGACACAUCCCAGUAGUGAUGUCAACAUUAUGUCAUAAAUAUAUAGCAUGAACCAACUUACCAUACUAUGUGAGCUAUACUACCCAUGGAGUCUUCUGGGGAAACGAUUAUUCAUAAAUGACUUAUCAUCCAAAACCACAAGAAGUCAGGAUCAGAGUCAUUUUGUUCCUGUUUGUAGUUCUGUUGCCUGGGACAGGAGUUACACUCAAGAAGUGUUUUCUUCGAAUGAAUCAACUGAGAUAAGGUGGGUAGGCAGCACCAGUUGUACAUUCAACUAAAGCAGGUGAUAUUUAACAAGUUUUAUGGACAAAGUCUUUAUUAGCUGUAAGCAGGAUGCUUUGACCAGGUGUCUCAGAGGGCAAUAUUGAAAUAGUUAAGAAUGAGAAGCUGGAACUCUGGAUUUUUUUAAAAGACAUGUUUGUUUGUUUGUUUGUUUGUUUGUUUGACAGAAGUAGAGGGUGGGAGGAAUGUGCACAAGCAUGGGGAGCAGCAGGCAGAGGGAGAGAGAGCAGGCUCCCUGCUGGGCAGGGAGCCCAAACUGGGGCUUGAUCCCAGGACCCCAAGAUCAUGACCUGAGCUGAAGGCAGACUGGCUGGGAACUCUGACUUUGAAGCUUAUCUGCUCUGUAGCCUUGGGCAAGUUGCUGUAUCUUUGAUUUUUGCUUUCUCCAUUCAUUACAAUGGGUUUUAUUAAUGGGAUGGCAUUUGGAGUUCUGCAACUAUUAAAUGAGCACGUAUCUACAGAAUGUUCCCCAAAUGCUUUGCACCAAGUAAUAGCAUCACAAAUGGUAGCUAUUAUUAUUGUUGUUGUUGAUUUUUUUCAAUAUUGACGUUUUAGGCUAUUUUACUCACAGUUAUUUUAUGCUAAAAUGCAAAUUGAGGCAAUUGUUAACACAGAAAUGGAGGUAAUUCACUACUGCCUUUGCCCAUGAGAUGUUUAAUGACCACCAGUUAGGAGUUCUGCCUUCCUUAUAUGAGACUUUCACACGCUUCAUUUGCAAAAUAGGUGCUUACAUACACAAGAUUUCCCUUUAAAAGUAUUUCGUGGCUCAGCUGCUGUUCUUCUGAUUAACCAACUCCCUCUUUAAAGACUUGAAGCCAUGAAGUUUAUUUUUUGUGACAUUCACUCGAGUAUAGACACAAAAAUUGCCAGUGGUUUACAGCAGGCUUUUACGUCCAUUCCACCAUGCAAACUUGCAGAUGUUGUUUGCAUGAAAGACACAGUUGUAGGGAGAAGGUAAUAUUGACAGAUAACAUCUGCUGUAAGGGACACUUAUGA